rnacentral:rRNA from 1 species
UGGGGAAUAUUGGACAAUGGGCGCAAGCCUGAUCCAGCCAUGCCGCGUGUGUGAAGAAGGCCUUCGGGUUGUAAAGCACUUUCAGCGAGGAGGAAGGGAGUUGUGUUAAUAGCACAGCUUCUUGACGUUACUCGCAGAAGAAGCACCGGCUAACUCUGUGCCAGCAGCCGCGGUAAUACAGAGGGUGCAAGCGUUAAUCGGAAUUACUGGGCGUAAAGCGCACGUAGGCGGUUUUUAAGUCAGAUGUGAAAGCCCCGGGCUCAACCUGGGAAUUGCAUUUGAAACUGGAAAACUAGAGUGUGUGAGAGGGGGGUAGAAUUCCAAGUGUAGCGGUGAAAUGCGUAGAGAUUUGGAGGAAUACCAGUGGCGAAGGCGGCCCCCUGGCACAACACUGACGCUCAGGUGCGAAAGCGUGGGGAGCAAACAGGAUUAGAUACCCCCGUAGUCCCUGAGCGGGCUGGCAAGGCGCAU